CUACAGACGCACACCACCACGCCCAGCUAAUUUCUUUUAUUUUUUGGCAGUGACAAAGUCUCACUAUGCUGCUCAGACUGAUAUCAAACUCCUACGCUCAAGCAAUCCUCUCGCCUCCACUUCCCAAAGUGCUGAGAUUACAGGCGUGAGUGAGCCACCUGGCCAGGCCCUACAGCCAAGUGAAAAACUGCAAGCAGCAGAAAAAUUUAUCUAAGAGUUUUAAAAGUCUAAACAUCUCAUUCUUUCGCAAUCCAGAUACCAACAGGAGUCUGAAACCCUUCGCAGAGGCGUGCAACACACUAGGAGAGCGCUAUCUGUUUACAAAUACGAAUCUCAGUUACCCACGUCAAAACCGCGCAUUACCACCUUUCGACUGGGGGGCGGGGGAGAGAGAAGGCGGGCGAGCAAGAAACAAAAUCCACACAGACACCUCUGCCUUCUCCCUACAAGGACGAGCCCGGGGAAACAUUCAGUAUGUAUUAUAUGCGUGUAUACAUUUAUAUACAUUAUGUAGUCACCUAUGUCUAAGCAAGGGUGAAAGAAAAAGGUACACAUGACAGGGAAUCGUAACUGGACCCAACAGAAAUGUUCAAACCAAUCCCGUUAACUCAAAAUCCGCCCCGCUGGUCUACAACAGGUUUCGGUCCGGGACCGGGAGCCCCAGCCACAGUGUGGAGUUCGUCCCCAAAGCGCCCCAAUGCCCUCCUCAGGCCGCCCAGGCCGC
rnacentral:lncRNA from 1 species